UACGAAGGGGGCUAGCGUUGUUCGGAAUCACUGGGCGUAAAGGGCGCGUAGGCGGCCUCAGGUGUCGGAUGUGAAAGCCCGGGGCUCAACCCCGGAGGUGCAUCCGAAACUCUGGGGCUGGAGGUCGGAAGGGGAGGGUGGAAUACCCAGUGUAGAGGUGAAAUUCGUAGAUAUUGGGUGGAACACCGGUGGCGAAAGCGGCUCUCUGGUCCGGACCUGACGCUGAGGCGCGAAAGCGUGGGGAGCAAACAGG
rnacentral:rRNA from 1 species